ensembl:lncRNA
GUUUAUCAUAGGAGAACUUUUGAAGUUCUUCAGUAAACCACAUAUGUACUUAAAGGAACCCAGGAUGCUUUAGUACUCGAGAUGAACUUGAUGUGAGAGUCAGACAGUCAAACAGAUGAAAAUAAAUCAGAAUAAAUGCCAUCUGUACUGUUGACCUCUGAUACAGUGAAAUCUGACUGCUGCUGUCAUAAUAUAUUGUUGAUAAUGAAUAUGGGCUGAGAAUCGUGUUAAAUGAGCUAAAGAUUAGCGGCUAACAAGGGUGCAGUGUUCUGGAAAGUGUGCAUGUGUAUUUGUGUGUUGGUUCGGCCCCUGCUGCCCGUGUCCCUCUCUGGCACUUGUGCACUGGCACCGAGGCAUCAGGCACCCCUGCCGGUCCGCCUGGCAUCUCUGCGGCCCCUCAGGGCUUGGUCAGCACCCGGGUGGGAGUAUUUCCAGUCCCUAAGGAGGACGCGAGGGGGAGGGUCCUGCUCCCCGGGGAGACACCAGAGAGCCAGAGUCCAGCGCAAGACAAACCCAUCUGCCCUAGAGAGCAUGCCCACCACACACACACACAAUGCCACCACACGGAAACCAACUGCUGUCCUACAAAACCAUCUCAUUAGUUUUACUGUAUAUUAAGGUUUUUCAGUGGGAGUAGCUUCAGUCCUGAAUCUCAGAAAUAAUAUAACAGGGUCAAAGUCUGCAUCUGAGACAAUAUUAGGUCUUUUCAAUAAUUAUUGUUGAUAAGCCCAAACUAUUCUUCCAUUUGAGUUUCAUAAUGGUCCGCAUAACACAAUUCAGAUGUGUCUGCACUAUGUGUGCAGCCCAAUUUUUGUGUCUGUAUGGACAGGCUGCGUAACACUGCAGACACAAAGUGAAUGUUGAGACCGAACAAGUUCACUUGUUGGCACUUUGUGUGUGUCAAACUCAUUCAAGACGAAGUGGGAGCGUUGAAAAAGAAGUAUACCCAAGCCUUUAGGUAGACUAAGGCCAAAAAUAUACUUUGGCCGUCCGCAUUCCACGAUGGUCAAUAAACAGUCCACAUAAUGUAAUUUUUGUCA